rnacentral:rRNA from 1 species
AACGAACGCUGGCGGCAGGCUUAACACAUGCAAGUCGAACGCUCGUAGCAAUACGGGAGUGGCAGACGGGUGAGUAACGCGUGGGAACAUACCCUCCGGUUCGGAAUAGCUCAGGGAAACUUGGAUUAAUACCGGAUACGGCUGAGAGGCGAAAGAUUUAUCGCCGGAGGAUUGGCCCGCGUUCGAUUAGCUUGUUGGUGAGGUAACGGCUCACCAAGGCGAUGAUCGAUAGCUGGUCUGAGAGGAUGAUCAGCCACAUUGGGACUGAGACACGGCCCAAACUCCUACGGGAGGCUG